UACAGAGGGUGCGAGCGUUAAUCGGAUUUACUGGGCGUAAAGCGCACGUAGGCGGCUUGUUAAGUCGGAUGUGAAAGCCCCGGGCUCAACCUGGGAAUGGCAUCCGAUACUGGCAAGCUAGAGUACAAGAGAGGGUGGUAGAAUUUCUAGUGUAGCGGUGAAAUGCGUAGAUAUUAGAAGGAAUACCGGUGGCGAAGGCGGCCACCUGGCUUGAUACUGACGCUGAGGUGCGAAAGCGUGGGGAGCAAACAGG
rnacentral:rRNA from 1 species